rnacentral:rRNA from 1 species
UGAGAGGACGACCAGCCACACUGGGACUGAGACACGGCCAGACUCCUACGGGAGGCAGCAGUGGGGAAUUUUGGACAAUGGGCGCAAGCCUGAUCCAGCAAUGCCGCGUGAGUGAAGAAGGCCUUCGGGUUGUAAAGCUCUUUCAGUUGAGAAGAAAAAGUCGUGACUAAUAAUCAUGAUUCAUGACGGUAUCAACAGAAGAAGCACCGGCUAACUACGUGCCAGCAGCCGCGGUAAUACGUAGGGUGCAAGCGUUAAUCGGAAUUACUGGGCGUAAAGGGUGCGCAGGCGGUUCUGUAAGUCAGAUGUGAAAUCCCCGGGGCUUAACCUGGGAACUGCGUUUGAAACUGCAGAGCUAGAGUGCAGCAGAGGGAGGUGGAAUUCCAUGUGUAGCAGUGAAAUGCGUAGAGAUAUGGAAGAACAUCGAUGGCGAAGGCAACCUCCUGGGGCUAGCACUGACGCUCAUGCACGAAAGCGUGGGGG